AGACCGCCCAGGAGGCGGCGGCUAUUGUUCCCCGCAGGGGCCCGGGGCGCCCUGAAACGGGGUCCACGUCAGCCCGCUCCCGAGCGUGUCCUCAGGUCUAAGGACGGCGCUGUGAACAAUGGAGCCAUCAAAAAGGCCUUCUCCCAGCCUCCUCACCAACCACGGACAUUCCUGGCCCAACAAGACCUCCUGGCCAGGUUUUGAGCCCUGCUUCCCAGAUCUGGGGACCCUUCACCUGCCUCUACUACUGCAAAUGAUUGGAUAUUCGUCUGACUUGGCUCUUCCCUAAUGUGUGGAACUAAUUUUGUUCACUCUGUUUCAUGCUGGACCUGGCCUGAAAAUGGGCCCUUAUAUUGUCUUUGCACUUUCCAACUUGCCAAGUUUCUGAAAGAAGGACCAAAGUAAUGCCAAGAACUCCCAGAUGAAGAGGACCUUCCUUAGACCUAUAACAGAUUCACUACUUGACUUCAGAGGGAAGUUUCAGCUAAUUCUCAGGAAAAGGUCAAAACAGGCCUGUGACUGUCCCUUGAAUACUGAAGGUAUAAACAAGCUUCUGGCUCCUCCAGGUCAAGCAGAGGAACACUUUUAUUAGAAUGAAGGGU
rnacentral:lncRNA from 1 species